CCCCUCUCACGAUAGCACCUGGAGAGUUUCCAGUACUCUACCAGUCUUGGCUACGGGAGGGAGAGUCAAGGAGGGGCAUUCUCCUUCCAUUCCUAGCUUGGCCAGUGGCUAGCGAGUGGAAGGCAAUCCGCUACAAGU